rnacentral:lncRNA from 1 species
CAAAGAAGUGUGUAAAGUUUUAAGCAAUAAUCAUAAAUCGUUUUUGAGAUACGGCGCGACAUGUAAAAAAAACCUCCCCCUUUUUUAUAAAAUACUCAAAAACUCAAAAAUGAAAUUUUGAAUCAUCACCAAAAAGUAUACAGAUAUUAAGAUUAAUAUAACUAAAAAGUGUGUAAAGUUUUAAGCAUUAAUCAAGAAAAGUUUUUGAGAUACGGUGCGACAUGUGAAAAAAACCACACCCCUGUUUUAGUUACAAAGUGCCGUAACUCAAAAAGUUUAAAUCUUAUUUUCACCAAAAAGUAUACAGAUCAUUUGACCAUCAUAAGAAAACAACUAUAUUAAGUUUCAUGAAAUUUGGAUAAGUCGUUCUCAAGUUACGGUGCGACAUGUUUACGCCGGACAGACGGACAGACGGACGGACGGACGGACGGACAGACGGACAGACAGACGGACGGACGGACACCGGACAUUUGUAUACCAUAAUACGUCCCGUCAAAAUUUUGACGGGCGUAUAAAAA